rnacentral:sRNA from 1 species
GAUUUGCGUUAAGGAUGAAAACGGCAUCCUUUUUCUUGUUUUUUUUAAACAAGAAAAAGAUAUAGUGGACAGCCUGACCUGAA